rnacentral:rRNA from 1 species
UACGUAGGGGGCGAGCGUUAUCCAGAUUUACUGGGCGUAAAGCGCGUGUAGGCGGCUGGUUAGGUGUGAUGUGAAAUCCUCGGGCUCAACCCGAGAACUGCAUUGCAAACCGGCCUGGCUAGAGUGCAGGAGAGGGAAGCGGAAUUCCAGGUGUAGCGGCGAAAUGCGUAGAUAUCUGGAGGAACACCAGUGGCGAAGGCGGCUUCCUGGCCUGUAACUGACGCUGAGACGCGAAAGCGUGGGGAGCGAACCGG